GGGUGCGUAACGCGUAUGCAAUCUACCUUUUACAGAGGGAUAGCCCAGAGAAAUUUGGAUUAAUACCUCAUAGUAUAGUGAGUUGGCAUCAACACACUAUUAAAGUCACAACGGUAAAAGAUGAGCAUGCGUCCCAUUAGCUAGUUGGUAAGGUAACGGCUUACCAAGGCAACGAUGGGUAGGGGUCCUGAGAGGGAGAUCCCCCACACUGGUACUGAGACACGGACCAGACUCCUACGGGAGGCAGCAGUGAGGAAUAUUGGUCAAUGGGCGCAAGCCUGAACCAGCCAUGCCGCGUGCAGGAUGACGGUCCUAUGGAUUGUAAACUGCUUUUGCACAGGAAGAAACACUCGGUCGUGACCGAGCUUGACGGUACUGUGAGAAUAAGGAUCGGCUAACUC
rnacentral:rRNA from 1 species